rnacentral:rRNA from 1 species
CUGCUGGCACGUAGUUAGCCGUGGCUUGCUUUUCCGGUACCGUCAAUGCAGUUUGUUCUUCGCACUCUGCCUUUUCGUCCCGGAUCACAGAGUUUUACAACCCGAAGGCCGUCAUCACUCACGCGGCGUUGCUCCGUCAGGCUUUCGCCCAUUGCG